GGUUUAGCUAUAAAGAGGGUGCAAAAGACUGAAACUUUUUGGCAGGGAUCUUCAAAGGUCCCUGCCUCAGCUGUGGUGCUGGGUAAUUAAAGGUGGUACCUUAAGCCAGUGCACUUCUGAGUAGUCUUAAAUGGUUUAAGUACGGCUUUCGUUGUGGGAUUUUGUUAAAAGUUUCAGUGCAUUUUACAGGGGAUGAAUUCACCCCAAGCAGGCAGGCAGCCAAAUCCAUUUGUUUUCAUACAAGCAGGUCUGUUUCCACAGUACUCACCAAUUCCCUCAUAGUGCACUGCAAUGGGGUGACUUGCCUGACAAUGAAGGGAUGGAAGGUAUGGGUCCUUGAUGAAUGCUGAAUAUUGAUUUCUUGGUGUGAUCAGUGGCUCUUGUCUGAAAGUUUCUCUGUCUGUGGAUUAGGAAAAAUACUCCUGCUAUGGCUGAUUUACUUUAUGGACCUAAGGGACAGUUUUUUCAAGAGAGUCAAAAGUCCACAUUUUCAAGGGCUCCACACCCACAGCUGGAACCUGACUUUCAAAAAGCCAAACUCACAGAAGGGCACCAAAACAAUAGGCAGUUUUCAAGACUGCAAAGCAGCAAGCAGCUCCUUUUGUUCCAGGGAGCCUGGCCUUUGAAAGAGGCAGAUAUAACAGAGAUCUGCUAGGAAGCUGAACUCUGUCAGAUGUAAUUGACAGCUGCAAGUAGAAAAAACUGUGUAAUCUGCUAUCUCUAAGCAUUUCAAAAUGCUCGUUGUAGUAGUAUCAAGAUGCCCUAUGUAGCUCUUCCCUCUAGACUCCCUCAGAAGUCACCAAGGCAGUGCUCCCAGCAUAUAACCCAAAACCACGAUUUCUUCCAGCUGCUGGUAUGCAAACCUCAGGCCAGACUCUAAAAUCCCACUUGGAAUCUUUCUGUUUGUGACAGGGCUACUGGUAAGAAAAGCUCCACAAAUAAAAUUUGGUUGGCAUUUCUGAAAAGCAUGCAUGAGUUUUCAUCUCACACAAUUGGGUUAUGUUCCUGUAUGGGGGUGAAAAAACAAUUUUCUUCUUAAAAAAGCGUAUGUUCUGAAAAUCACUUCUUGUGGUGGGGCUGUUCACAGCCUUUAGUCUCUGUCGUGCACAAUCAUGCAAAUAAUACAUCUGCUAGAACAUGGACAGAAAAGCACUUUCCUCUGCUAUGAACUGAGCCCGGACUAAUGACAAAUGUGGUGACGACUCCUAAAUGCAUAGAACAUGUACUAAAUGAAUCUCAUCAGGAAAUUAUGUUUUUUCAGCCAUAGAGCACUCAACUUGCAAUUAGGACUGCCAAGGAAUUGGGCAGUAUCUUCAAACUUCCUUGCUAACCCCAACAACCUGGGUAGGAACCGGUGUGCUAACUGUGGCUGGAAAAAUAAUAAUAAUAAUAAUAAUAAAAAACCUUUCAUAGUGCUAUGUUGCAAUGAAAAGAUUUGUUGGAAUUACAAUGCUGUUACACAUUUUGGCAGGACUUUCUACACUUAAAAGGCAGAAGCAGGAAUGUGAGGGGUGAUGUGUCUGCAGAAAGAAAGGGUUAACAAUAGGAAAGCAAAUUCCUGAGGUUUAGGAGGCAGCCACACUGCUGGAACCUUACCAGGGCACAAGGACUAGGGCAAGAUCCCCAGGUGACACAAGGCAGUCUCAGGUAAGGCUUUUCUAGGAAUGAGUUAAAGUCUGUGCUGUGGCAUCUACGUAUGUUAAGCUGUGAAAAUCAGCUAGUACCAUUUCAUACGCUGAUACCAAGCAAGGCAAGAAUUUAAGUUUCCAAAAUGAAAGUACUCGCACGUUUGGUGAGGGACCCUAGAGCUGUCAGUAUGUGAUUAUUUGUUCUGUGAUCAUUGUAACACUAUUUGGAAAGUGUUUAGAAAAAUCUGGUGAAUUCCUGCAGGACUCAUGACCAAGUAUCCCCUGAUAAUUAGCUUAUUAUCGGUAUGCUGGCUAUUAAAGGUGAGAAUGAGGAAGUAAAGCAGAAAUCCCAAAAGGCCCUGAAAGAGAUACAGAAAAAGCCAGCAAUUUCUACUUUCAUUUUAAGGACCCCGUCAGUACAGGCUGUGCCUCAACCUGGUUUGAUCACUGUUUGGAUUUUCUAAUUAUUUAGGAAUUUUCAGCCAAUAAAGACAGUUAUGUGAAUUAUGAGAAAACACAUAACUGCAACUGUGCAAGCACUUAAAUUCAAUUACACUGUCUACUACUCAAGCAUUUCAGUUUUAGCCCUUGGAUUAGGGGCAUCUUGUGACACACAGCCAAGUUUUCAAGCUGAGGCUUACAGCCGAGGCUGGCUUACAUGAAAAAAGCUGGGAACCUAAUCACUCUGUUUAAGAACAUUAAGCCCCCCCGUGCUUUUUGUCAACACAGCCCUGGAUAAAUAUAAGCCCCUGCUGUGUACGUUUCAUGACAUUUAAGGAGACACAUUUAUUUACACUUUACCCAGGGUGUAAAUGAGGUUCCUCCUAGCAGUGAUAAACCCUUGGUUUCUCCUAGAGCUGAUCAUUAGACUUUCUAUAAUCAAUGAGCCCAGCAUGAGUAUGUUUAUUUGUGAACAGUUGUUGAAGAGCAAGCAAAAGGACACUGUUUUAUAGGCUCCAGGAUCUUAAGACCAAGUAUAAAUACUCACCAAAAAACAUGUAAAUGUAAAGAAUAUGUCCUACUAGUUUACUGCGGUUUUUAGACAAUCCCACAUUUUUAUUCUCUCAUUCUCUUCUCCUACCUGCCAUGCAAUGGCACAGGGCAUUGUGACCAUGCUGGGCAGCUGCUGCAUUCCUCCAGUCUACCUUAUUUCAAGGUACUUAAAUACGCAUUACAGAUUGAGGUUCUUGCCUCAAAGUUUCAAUAUUUUCAUAUUAAUGUGAUCUAACAGAUCACAAAACAGCCUUUCUACUACCCAGGACAAGCACUUGGAUAAAUUAGGCUUGAGAUGGUUAGAAAACCCCUAAAGAGCACCAUUUAAUGACCUCCACAGAAGCAGGAAAAAUAAUAUUUCAGCUUUUACCUUCCCAUAUACCACAAGUGAGCUGUGACCACCUGCACCUUAUCAUUAGAACAGAUGAUUUUUAGGAGCACUCCAACAGUGUGGUGCCUGUAAAUAAUUUAAAGGAACCUUCCAUAUACAUAAACCUCAUGUGCAAGUCCUAAAACAAAUAUGAUGCCAGUAAGGAGAGCGAAAUGGCAACAAAACAUCUUCUCUAACUGAAAAAAAAAAAAAAAAAAAAAAGGCAGAAAAGCAAUUAGCCUAGUUACUGAAAUCGGUGGUAUUCGUGCAUUUUAAUAAGAUUAUACAGCUACAUGCAAGACAACACAAUUUUUAUGUUUGGCGUCUAUAGCAGCGCAGCUUCCAGCAUAAGAAAUACAAGAACUGACUUGCAUCUCCUUGUUAUAUUUUGUUGGCAUUCCCUUUUUCUAAGGUUAGGGAAAAAAAAAAAAAAAAAAAAAGUAAAAAAGGGUAAAAUAAGGAUAAUAUUAACAUUCAUAAGCCACCUGCCAUUCAAUCAUGGGAAAACAGGCUUGCCAAGAACUAGUGAUUUACUCAGGAAUAGAAAGAAAGCAAUUCAAAACUAGAUCUCAGUUUCCAAAGAAGCAGGCUUUGUUUUUCAUAGCAGAUGACACAGCUAUUUCAGGGAUGUAUUUUGAUUUGCAAUUGCUUGUAAAGUGUCUUAAGCUACCCAAGCAAACACCACGAUACUUCAUUUUGCAGUCAGUUAUUAGGGUCAUCUGCCAGGCACUCUGUAACUCCAAGGAGAGAUUAUGCAGCACACAGCAUCCAAACACAUCUCCAAUCUUACAGCACACAUGGUUCCUUCUUUCCCAUUCUUUCACUGCUGCAUCACUUGCUGUGGGGCUUUCCUGUUACGCAGAGACACCAGCCUCGAGUCCCCACUGCUAGGAAGAGUCACGUAGCAAGGACGCAGCUAAGCCCAGCCAGGGCUCAUGUUUACCAUUCACACUUGUGCCAAAAUGUCCUCCCUUGUCUGGUUUAGAUGGGAUUAAGGAGAUUCUUGCUAACUAGCAAACAGUUUAUUGGUUGAUUCUGUAUCCAUGAUCAACAAGUUUUCCAAGCUGUCAGCCAAUUACUUAGACUUGAAAAAUGUCCUUGGCUUUGUUUGAGUUCUUUAUCAGAAACUUACUAAUUAAAUUGAUGCAUAUUCCAUGCUGCUAGGAGAACAGAUUGAGGUGAACAUUGCAGAUAAUCUUAGACACCUAGCCGAUAAGCAAAAAGUUUGUCUAGAAAGCCCAGCUAAAGCCAGCAGUGAGUGAAUACAUCCUGGAGCAGUCCACUGUUGUUUAAGCUGUUCAUCAAAACAUACUGACUUAAUUUCAUCACUGAUGUCACCGCUUUGCAGUCAAGAGACUUAAAUCAGGAAUGAACUCCCGUGUGACUCUGAUGCGAUACAUUUAGGUAUAUGAUGUUAUUUUAAAACAACUUACUGCAGCCUCACAAACCUAUCUUUGAAACAAGGCAAUGGGUAGCUUGUUGGUCACACUCAAUUGGACUUUCAAAAAUAUCUUUAAAAAAUAAUUAAAUCAUUAACUGAAGAAUCAUUAAUUAUCUAGGAUAUAAAGCAGGAAAAGUGCUACUCUCCAAAGGAUGUACUUUUUUUUUAAUAGCCUCAAAGAACAAGACAAAAGGAGUUCAGGGAAUAAGAGGCGCUAUGCUGAAUUAGAGUCUGGUAACGCUGUUAAUGAAAUCAAUGGAAGCCUUGCAAUUCAUCCUAAAGAAAAUGCGACUAGCUCUAGUAGAGCACAACUGCCAACCUAACCACAGCAACUCUCGCGCUAUCUGGCUGGUAUAGCACACUGGUAUUCCAAGUGAAGUUGUUCAUCUGUAAAAUCGUGCUGUGGGGAAAUCCAAACCAGAAGUGUGAACUGUAACUCCAGGCCUUUUACUGCCAAUGUGCGUAGCAGGCCCAAAUGCACCCUAGAUACUACUGUGGUAUCAUAAAAAAUUAAAUAGGGAGGCUGUUCUUUUAUGGUUUAACUUUCUCAAAAGCCAAAAAAGCCAGAGGACUUUGGCAGCAAGAAUCUCUGGCUGCGACAAGUAUGGAUAUAUACAUACCAGUGAAGUUUUGAAACUCUGUUAAGUGGAAUUAAACAUUUAUGGAAGAAUGCAUUUAGAUGUUUAGAGCAGCACAGCUAAAGCAGCUUGAUGAUAGCUAUAAUUUACUCAAAGUUAUGUUUUUAGAUACCACACUAUUUCUAAUCCUUUUCUAUGCAAAAAUCCAUUUGCUUUCAGUACGUACUGCAGCAUUUGCAGCCAGGUAUUACAUGAACUCCUCAAUGCCUGGUCCCCACACUGGUCUUUCUGUUGAGCCAUUCCCAUUCCAAUCACCCUGAUUUGGGGAACACCAUGCUGUUUCGGGUGUUUCAUACAGUCCUAUCCUUACACCCUGUAGAAGUGUAGCCUUAUCCAUUACACUCUACAGGAAGACAUCCACUGAUUUUAUAGGGCAUCAGAUUCAGCCCUUCACAGGCAGUCCUGAUUCCUGACCUGCAACCACCCCCGACUUUCACUGUGGUGCAAAGCAGGGUUUACACCAGCAAGCUGACAGUGCAGUCCCUCUGAUCCCACAGGACUAGGGGAGCACAGCAUACUGAUCUCGAGUCUAUUCACUCUUUCCCAUACCAUUUGUUUCCAUCAUCUCUGGAGAAACCUUGUAUGAUGCUGCAUCACAAAUUCUUUCCCCUCAGCAGAACGACACUUUGCCACCUACUCCUGCAGCUUCGUUGCUCUCCCCAGUUAAAACUUCCAGGAGUCUCAGAAUGUCUCUUGACCUUCAUCUGCUGUACAUCCUGGAGAGGUUUGACAUUAUAAUCUGACUGGAGAUGAGAUGGGGAAGAUUAACACUAUCACUAUUUUACAAAGAUUCAUUAGAGCUUCAGUGGGAAUAUCAAGGUUAUAGGUCCACCUAAAGCUCAGAUGAGAAGAUUACAACAUCCUGGAAGAUUAUUAGCAUGCAAUAAAUGAAAUGUUGUGUUA